CUUCCAGACUCCUACGGGAGGCAGCAGUGAGGAAUAUUGGUCGAUGGGCGGGAGCCUGAACCAGCCAAGUCGCGUGAGGGAAGACGGUCCUACGGAUUGUAAACCUCUUUUGCCGGGGAGCAACGGGGUCCUUGCGAGGGCCCAAUGAGAGUACCCGGAGAAAAAGCAUCGGCUAACUCCGUGCCAGCAGCCGCGGUAAUACGGAGGAUGCGAGCGUUAUCCGGAUUUAUUGGGUUUAAAGGGUGCGUAGGCGGGCUGUUAAGUCAGCGGUCAAAUGUCGGGGCUCAACCCCGUCGUGCCGUUGAAACUGAUGUUCUUGAGUGGGCGAGAAGUAUGCGGAAUGCGUGGUGUAGCGGUGAAAUGCAUAGAUAUCACGCAGAACUCCGAUUGCGAAGGCAGCAUACCGGCGGCGAUCUGACGCUGAGGCACGAAAGCGUGGGUAUCGAACAGGAUUAGAUACCCCCGUA
rnacentral:rRNA from 1 species